rnacentral:tRNA from 1 species
GGCAAUGUGGCUUAGUGGUAGAGUGCUUGACUCGCAUCCAUGAAGCCCUGGGUUCAAUUCCUCAGUACCA